ACGAGAUCACCGUGCCAGCUGUUACUGCCAGAGUGCAGAGGGCAUGUUGGGAUUUAAUAAGCUACAGCUAUAGCCCGCGCAUUAUGUUGGGAGCAGGAUACGGCUGAAGAGCAUUGCUGUUACACCAUCCGCUGAAACAAGCUCUUGCCAAGCUUCUCGGGUGGCUCAUAGGGGUAGGUAGGUGGUGGAAAAUCAGCCGCAGAUGGCACUGUUUGAACUGUCUGAGCUUUUUACAUUUACCUACCAGCCAAUACAAAACAAGCAAUGUCCUCAUCUGUUAAUUUCCUUAGUUUUUCCUGCCUGGCUUUUGCAAAUGGCAAAUGGCAUAAGAGUUUCAAACAUGGUCUCCUUCUAUGCUGUGAAGAGAUCCUGUGCAAACUACAUGUGAUCUGCAUGGAAGCCAAUAACAACUGGUAAAGCCCAACCACACUGGAGUCUGUGGAGGUUUGGCUGGAGACAUGAAUUUGUCCCCUUUCUUGUAAUGAGCUGCAGAGGGACAUCGCUAAGGGCAGGCCCUGAAGAAGAGGUUGAAGAUGGCUUGGCCUUUGCUGCAUGCUUGUGUAAAUUAAGGAAAACCAUUUGGAGGGAGAUCACUCAUAAAUUGGGAAGAACAAGACAUGCAGAGCCUUCCUGUGGCAUUGCAGCGGGAGCUGCAGAUUGGUAGGUCAUGUGCAGGGUAGGUUCUUCGUCCCCGUCCAAGACCAUGAGUUUUGGUAGGACCAGAAUUCUCCGAAUCCUAUCAGAAGUCUCUGCAAAAUCCACUUGAUCCUCUUCUGACAGGCAAGAUGGUAUGAGGGCUUGCAGUCUUCAUGCUGCAAGGCCAUUAGCAAUUCUUGUACCUCAGGUGACUUAUUAAUGUCUUACUUGACAACUCAGAUUUAAAUGCAUGUUGAAAAAUGUCUUUAUACUGUCGGAGCUCAUUAGGUUUUAUGCACAAAACAAAAUCAUUAUUCAGAGAUUUGGAACUGCUUUACUAAAGUGGGCAUCUAUUGAAUAUCCCCAAUGCAAUUCUUCCUUCUAAUACGGUAAUUCGUUAUCUGUAUUUAAUUAUCUGCAAGGUGAAAGGUUGCUGGGCAGUGUUGUUCAGCAAUGGCCCAAUGGAAAUUUUUAAGUACUUUCACUCUGGGCUGACUGUCUUUACAGAUCAAUCUUACUGCUAAUGACAACCAAUACUUUCAGAUGUGAUUACAGACUAGCUCCAUCUUUUCAUGAGCCGAGACUCUUUGGAAUCAUAUGUAUUGAUCUUUUUAAUAGAAGUCAAGAAAAAUGAAAUUACCUUGCCUUCUUUUUGCAAAACUAUGAUAAAUGGGAAGUUGGAAAGUUACAGAAGAUUUUUUUUCUGUUGUGGAUUAUUUUAAUCACUAAAAAUGAUGGUCUUUUUAAUAAUGUUUGUCUUUCCAUUAUGCACAUUUGCAGCAAAGCCAAAACUUAUUUUUGUAUUACUUUAUAUAACCACAUUUAAGCAAAGACAUGUCAGAAUUGCCUGCUGGUAUAUUUAGGUAACUAUCAAGUAGAUUCUAGGCUAAAGGAGAAACCUGCUUUUAGAUGCCAAGAGAUUGUAUUUUCUUGGCAUCUACGAGUAUAACCUAAUUUUUAGAACAGCAUUUUGGGAUGUCUACAAUCAAGUAUUCAUCUGUUUCUUAUAUAGAGCUUACCCUUCAUUGCAUGUAAUAUUGUGAUAAAAGACUUUACCUAUGUGCAUUUUCUUUCUUCCUGGAAGUGUCAUACUGGCUUUCACUUUUCCAGUUUUCAAUGGCAAUAUAUGUCACAUGGCUCUGUCUCUUGCUUCAUUCCUUUCUUCAUGUUUAUAAACCUCUAGUAUUUUACAACAAAAUGUGCCUAUUGUACCCUGCCCUUGAGGCCUAGAAGACAGUGUUUUGGCUUUAUAUUAUGCUAUAAACAUAUGUGCACCCCACUGAGAAUAACAUUUGCUAGCCUGACUUCUCAUCCUUGUGCCAACAGAACGGAAGUAAAAAUAUGUUAGAUCCCACAGUAAUUGUAGCUAUUCCUCUUGGAUAAAUUCCAUUGCCAAGGUAGUGGGUAAGAUAAAUCUUGGUGACACAAUGGCAGAAGAAAAGAUAUGGAUAAAUCAUAGGAGUGAUGGAAGAUAUAUACUGGUGGCUUUCACUGGUAUUAAUUGGAAGAUACAUACAUGACCUACAGAUAUUUAAAAUCAGAGGCACUGGCAAACUCUCCUCAGUUUGAAAGGCAGUGUUAUACUUUCUUAUUGCUUGAUUGAUCCUCAGUUCUUUUCAAUCUUCUAUGUUGUAAAUCCAUGCUCUUUUCAAACUUAUUUCCACAAAGCAAUUUCCUUUUUUUCUAAUCACACCCCCCAUAAUAAUUUUUAACUUCCCCUUCACUUUUCAUUAUGCCUUUUGUUACAGCAAUCUUCAACACCCAGUCAUCUGGUUUUAUUGCUGUCCUUGAAACUCAAUAUUUUUCAGUCAGGUUACUUUCUGAACACUUUGGUAACCUGUAUCUUGCUGUUUUUAGGGAUCCAGACUUAACACCUUUUGUGCAUAUUUUCAGCUUCGGAAGUCUGUGGUUUUUUAAGCCAUGAUACACAGAAUUUACGUUUAGUUCAAGGAGUUCCUAAACUGUAUGUAUGUGACUGAGUCCACUGUGUGUGGAGUGUACACCAAGGGCACUGUAUGUCUGCCCUGUUUUGUUUCUGCUUGUUUCAUAACCUCCUGCUGCUGGCCACUGUUGGACACAGGUUACUGAGCGGGAUGGUUUUGGGUAGAUUCAGUGUGAAGGUCUUCUGCUGACAUCUCUAUCCCACAGAUCCUUGCUCUCGCUGCUCUUGCUGUGCCUAUUUUUCUUUGAAUAUCCUGUUCACAGGAAUUAUUACUCUUACAAUGUUGAAAAACCCCUCAGAACCUCACUGAUUAUAAUUUUAUGAUAUAUCUUUUUGUGAGGGACUAGAUCUUCUAAAAGUAAGCUUCUAUAUUUCAUAUAGACUGGGGUCUGUCUGUAUUGCAGAUGGACUAAGCCAGGUGAUAAAAACAUUUUGUGACAUGCUGUGCUCAGCUGCAGACAAUCCAGUACUUAAAUGAGAAGUCUGAGAAAAAAAAAACCCAAAAACCAAUUGUCUAUUAAUUGCUUUAAGUAUACCUCAAUAUUUUCAUUAAAAACAGUGAACAAUGUUUCAGAAUGUCUUGCAACCAUUCAUGCGCAGUCAAAACCAGCCGGUUAUUUUCUGUGGCCUUCUUAGACUUUGUUUUACAGAGUUGUGUCUAACUGAUUUUACCUAGGAAAGCUGUCCCUUUGUGAUUUAAUGAAGUUGUGAAAUUAACCACUGUGGUAAGAAGACUGUAGAAUUGCAUCGCAAUAUAUUUAUUUCAGUUUAUCUGGAAAAGUCAAGUUAUUCUGCCAGUAUAGUUUUAGUCACGAAAAAAACAUUUCUUUGGGAAAAGAACGUCUUUGACUGUCUCAAAGAUGCCUUGUUUUGAACACUAGAAGCUCAUUUGUUGGCAUGGUGAAAUAGAGAACACUACAGUUGCCAUCUGAAAGAUGAGUAACAUUGCUGAUUUAGUUCUGUGAACCACUGGCUUUGUGAAAGAUUUUUUUGCCAGUGGAUAGCAUGUGAUGAAUAAUACAUAGCAUAGGUGUUCUUCCAUCCUGCUUAUAUGAGUUCUCAGCUCAUAUUAAACAUUUUUUUUAGCAAGCAUUGCACUGUAUGUGUACUAAAAGUUGUUACGGUAUGUCCAAAUCAGCCUGGAUUAAAUAACUUAAACCAUUCAGUUUAGUCCAUCUAACACUUAUGCACAUAAGUGAAUCUAUUUAUUUGAAUGUAUUCUUUAAACUCAAAGGUCCAACUACUCCUGUGUUACUGCAUCCCUUGAGGAGUUUCAUUAUAAAAUUGAAUAAUCCUGAUAAGAUGUGUCUGGGUACCUGUAUCACUUGUGUGUCAAAGGAAGGAGGACAUUGCUAUUGCUCUGAGUAUUUCCACCUUUUUCUUCCUUAAUGUAAGUAUUUACGGGAUGAACAUGAAACAAAGGUUAGCUGUACAAAUAAUGCUUUACAUGUAGAAUAGCUUGCAGGAUCAGGCAGGAUGUAAUUUUAUUUUUUUCUUUAGUGUGGCUGUGUUUCUCAUCUGGGCAGGAAGCAAAGACCGGUGUAUUGAGGUAGAAGGGAAAACCUGAAAUUAAAUAGGGUGAUAUAAGCUAGAGACAGUUUUCAGCAUGUUUUUUCUCAUCUCAAUUCCUUUUUUUUCUUUUAUGGCUCUCUGUAUAAUUUUUUUUGUUUCAGUCUACCCUCUUACAUAGUAAAUGUACUAAUUUCUUUGCUAAAGCAAAUAAGAUAAGAGAAUGCACUAUUUUUCUAAAUGUUGAGAAACUUGGCUUUACAUAACCUUGAAAUUUUCUGCACAGCUCAGAGGGAAAAAUCAUCAGUUUUGUCUGUGUAGAGCUUUAUUCUUGUUCUUUAGCACCAUUACUCUUUGGUAUGUGCAACACUUGGGUUGUGUGACAGCUAGUCACUAUUCCAUUUCUAUAAAGACUUCGCAUGUUAUUAUGGAGUCUGACAGAUCACUACCAAAGCUUAUAGCACAGUCCACAAAUGCACAGCAGUUAUUGCUAAAAAGUCAGCAUUUCCUUGCAAUUAUCAUGUAGUGGCAUCAAAAAUCCACAGUUGUUUCUCAUUUAAAUGACAGAGAAAAAUAGUUUAUCUAUCCAUCCAUCCAUCUAUCUAUCUAUAGUUAGUGCUGCUUCAUAAAAUUUGUCAAUGUUAAUGUUUAGCAGAUUAGAAUAAGAUCUUAUUUUCUUACUUCAGAAAGAAAGGUUAAUUUGGAAAAGAAGAUGAAAUAUACAUAGUACCCAGUGAAUUAGGAAUGUGAAGGAGGGAAAGAAGAGAAGGAAAGCAUUUGGCAGAAAAGAGAAGUGACAGGGAUGGGAUGAGCACUUGCAUCAACAGUUUUGUCAGAUCUGUGUGUCCUACUAUAGUGAAGAGAUAAACUGGUUUCCACCAGGCACCUUGAGUGUUGCUGAAGCUUUGCAAAAGGUUAAAUCAAAGAGUAGUCAGCUCUCAAUGUGACCUCUAGUUCAUCUAAGAUGGUCUUUCCUCCAUCUUAAGUAUUAAAAAAGACUGAAAAGUAAUCAACAACUUGGUGUGGGUUUACAGUGGUCAGGACUAUAGUUUUGGUUAUCUUGAAAAGAUCUGCAAUAUUCUGAAAUGGCAAUGAAAGAGUUAAAUCUGUAUUGAGUAUCCCCAGAAGAAUAAGUCAAACACUAGUUAUUUAAAAUGGGAAAAUAUUUGGGCUGGUAAAGAAUUUUUUCCAUUCAACUAUAUUUAAUGGAAAACUUUUUCUGAUGAAACAAUUUUUUUUUAAUGAAAAGUCUAAUGGAAAUCAGCUGUCUGGUUGUUGUUUGGUUUGUUGUGUUUUGUUUUUUUUUUUCUCGGAAAAUUUUGGCUUGUUGAAAGAAGAAAUUAUAAAGAAGACAGGAAAAGAACACUUCAACAAAGAUUCGAAUAUUUGGAACAUAGUGGUGGCUACUGAAUGGUUAAAUAUUCUGCUGUCUAAAAAGUCAAAUUACCAACAAAUAUAAAAGCUGGUGUUGCCCCAAAGGGUUCUUGAUGCUGCGCAUGUCUAAGUGUAAGUGGUGAGAAGAGUGCUGAAACAUGCCUUUCUGGUGGGGCUUCCAAUCCCACUUCCACAGAAAUAAAUGAAAAUACACUUUUUGACUACCGUAGGAAGAGAACUGGGACCUGGGAUCUAGGGCUUUCAUGAAUAUGCUGUGUGCUGAGGAAAUGAAUCUUAGGAGACUGGCUGCAGCUGAUGGCCAGCAAAGGGAAAUUCAUGUCUGCAGAUGGAAGUAUGACAGUUGGCAACAGACUCUAACAGAAAUUGUUUUCUCUCUGGAAUUUGAUAACUGUUAAUUCUUCAUCUACUUGGCUUCCGCCAAUGAACACAGUACUUUUCACUGAUAAGAAAUUCCUAUUGUUAAACUCCACAUGAACUCAAAAAAAUAUUAAGGUAUAAAUGCUUACCAGCAAAUAUGAGCAGCAAA